rnacentral:rRNA from 1 species
AGCAGCCGCGGUAAUUCCAGCUCCAAUAGCGUAUAUUAAAGUUGUUGCAGUUAAAAAGCUCGUAGUUGAAUUUCGGGAUUAGUACGUUGGUCGUGCCUUCGGUACGUACUGGUGUUACUGAUUCCUACCUUCUGACGAACCAUCAUGUCAUUAAUUUGGUGUGGCGGGGAAUCAGGACUGUUACUUUGAAAAAAUUAGAGUGUUUAAAGCAGGCUUUAGCUUGAAUACAUUAGCGUGGAAUAAUGAAAUAGGACGUUUGAUUCUAUUUUGUUGGUUUCUAGGAUUGACGUAAUGAUUAAUAGGGAUAGUUGGGGGCAUUAGUACUCAAUUGUCAGAGGUGAAAUUCUUGGAUUUAUUGAAGACUAACUACUGCGAAAGCAUUUGCCAAGGAUGUCUUCAUUAAUCAAGAACGAAAGUUAGGGGAUCGAAGACGAUCAGAUACCGUCGUAGUCUUAACCAUAAACUAUGCCGACUAGGGAUCGGAUGAUGUUAAUUUUUUAAUGACUCA